UAUCAACGGCAUCACGAGGAUCCUACUGUCUCCCCCCUCUAAUCAGUGAAACUGAUCUCCCCGUGAAGAAGCGGGGAUAUACAUAUAAGACGAGAAGACCCCAUGGAGCUUUAAACCUGACAGCACCCGCUCAUUCUAUACCCCAUUAUUUGCCCGACCCCUGUCUGCUCAGUUUUAGGUUGGGGUGACCACGGAGUAUAAAAUAACCUCCAUGAAGAAGGGGAUAUUUCCCUUAUUAGAGAACCACACUUCCAAGAACUAAUAAAUUAAUUUUCAAUGACCCGAUACCUGAUAAUCGAUCAACGAACCAAGUUACCCUGGGGAUAACAGCGCAAUCCACCCUGAAAGCCCUUAUUAACAGGUGGGUUUACGACCUCGAUGUUGGAUCAGGGUAUCCCAGUGGUGCAGCAGCUACUGAGGGUUCGUUUGUUCAACGAUUAAAACCCU
rnacentral:rRNA from 1 species